GUACCUUAAACUUAUGAGUAAGGAAAAUAACGACCCAGGGUGAUGCCAGGGUCCACACUGCAAAUGUGAGAGGAAUUUUUGAGUGGGUACAGGUUGUCCCUGGGUGACCCGCUUACUUCGCGGGAUGCCAAAAAAAAAAAA
rnacentral:snRNA from 1 species